rnacentral:pre_miRNA from 1 species
UGUAUACUCACUCCGUCCAAUAAAAGAUGUCUCGAGUUUGUCAAAAUUUGGAUGUAUCUAGACAUGACCUUAGUAUAUAGAUGCAUUCAAAUUUAGUAAAAGUUGAGAUAUCUUUUGUUGUUGGACGGAGAAAGUAUGUA